CAGGGACGCCGGAACUGGGGGGGGCAGGGGGGGGCGGCUGCCCCCCUUGCCUUUUGCUAGGGGGGCAGGGGGGGCAGAAGUGUCCUUUUAGUUGUAAAAUAAUACGUGAUAAAUCACAUUUCCAACGAUGCUUUUUGUAGGAAAAUCACGAGAUUCAGGUAAUUUAUAGUUUAUAUUUAUAAAAAUUUUGGGAAAUUUUUGGAAUUUAGAAAAAUAUUUUGAAGAAAUGGGGAAAAUUUAAGAUAUCCGGAAAAAUUUAAGAUAUCCGGAAAAAUUUUUGGCUUCACGGAAAAUUUUUGUAUGUCCGGCAAAAAUUUUUGACCCCUAAAAUGGUACACUGACCAAAAAAUUUUGCAGUGAAAAAAAAUUUUUCAGUAAAGGUGCCCUUGGUGUGCCUCCGCCCCCCUUUGCCCUAUUAUCGUUCCGGCGUCCCUG